UACGUAGGGGGCAAGCGUUGUCCGGAUUUAUUGGGCGUAAAGGGCGCGUAGGCGGCUUUGCAAGUGACGGGUGAAAUCCCUCGGCUUAACCGAGGAACUGCCUGUCAAACUGCAUGGCUUGAGACCGGGAGAGGUGAGUGGAAUUCCCAGUGUAGCGGUGAAAUGCGUAGAUAUUGGGAGGAACACCAGUGGCGAAGGCGGCUCACUGGACCGGUACUGACGCUGAUGCGCGAAAGCGUGGGGAGCAAACAGG
rnacentral:rRNA from 1 species